rnacentral:lncRNA from 10 species
GGGUCUGGCCAGCGGCCGCACAGGAAGCGUGUAGGAAGCGUGGCGCCUCAGCCACAAUCGUAAUCACCUUUAAUCUCUUGCUCAAAAUAACCCAAAGUCAAGCCAGAGGGAGCCUCGCUAACCACCAAGGCGGUCCUGCGGCCCCGCGCAGCCCUGAGGGCGUCCAGUCCUCCACGCGUGGAGGAGAAUCCGGCCUCCAGACACAAUCUCCAGGGCCCACUGGAUGGGCCUCCGCUCCUUCUCACUCCCAGUCCUCUGGUGCAUGCCCCCUUCCUGGCUGAAGAACCUGCACCAGCCGCCCCUCCGCCUGGGAAGCUCCCUCCUGUCAUUCACUCCGAGACGCAGCAGCGUUGCCCCAAGAGCCCUCCCUGCUCUGCACCCCGAAUUCACUCUCAGCCCCCACCUAGUUUAAAUCCUGGCCCUUCUCUCUCCCUGAUGUUCUGCUUGGUUAUUUACUUUUAAUUCAUGUUGGAGCUCCUCCUGCCACUGCAAGAGCAGGAGCUGUGUGUCCUGGUCACUGCUGUGGCAUCCCAGGGCCGGCGCGGUGCCCAGCAGCCAGGACUGGACAGACUCGGGCCACGCUGCGCACGGGCUGGGAUGCGCUGGCUCUGCUUCCUCUUCCGUUGAAUGGGAGUAAAGACCACUCCUCCCAGGGAGCUUGUGGUUUCUCACAAA